UACGGAGGGAGCUAGCGUUGUUCGGAAUUACUGGGCGUAAAGCGCACGUAGGCGGCUUUGUAAGUUAGAGGUGAAAGCCUGGGGCUCAACCCCAGAAUUGCCUUUAAGACUGCAUCGCUUGAAUCCAGGAGAGGUGAGUGGAAUUCCGAGUGUAGAGGUGAAAUUCGUAGAUAUUCGGAAGAACACCAGUGGCGAAGGCGGCUCACUGGUCCGGUACUGACGCUGAGGUGCGAAAGCGUGGGGAGCAAACAGG
rnacentral:rRNA from 1 species